ACGAACGCUGGCGGCAGGCCUCACACCUGCAAGUCGCGCGAGGACUUCGGUCCUAGCGGCGGACGGGUGAGUAACGCGUGGGAACGUGCCCUUUGCUUCGGAAUAGCCCUGGGAAACUGGGAGUAAUACCGGAUGAGCCCUUUGGGGGAAAGAUUUAUCGGCGAAGGAUCGGCCCGCGUUGGAUUAGGUAGUUGGUGGGGUAAUGGCCUACCAAGCCGACGAUCCAUAGCUGGUUUGAGAGGAUGAUCAGCCACACUGGGACUGAGACACGGCCCAGACUCCUACGGGAGGCAGCAGUGGGGAAUCUUAGACAAUGGGGGAAACCCUGAUCUAGCCAUGCCGCGUGAGCGAUGAAGGCCUUAGGGUUGUAAAGCUCUUUCAGCUGGGAAGAUAAUGACGGUACCAGCAGAAGAAGCCCCGGCUAACUCCGUG
rnacentral:rRNA from 1 species